rnacentral:rRNA from 1 species
UACGUAGGGUGCGAGCGUUAAUCGGAAUUACUGGGCGUAAAGCGUGCGCAGGCGGUUUUGUAAGCCAGAUGUGAAAUCCCCGGGCUCAACCUGGGAAUGGCAUUUGGGACUGCAAGGCUGGAGUGCGGCAGAGGAGACUGGAAUUCCUGGUGUAGCAGUGAAAUGCGUAGAUAUGCGGAGGAACACCGAUGGCGAAGGCAAUCCCCUGGACCUGUACUGACGCUCAUGCACGAAAGCGUGGGGAGCAAACAGG